AAGGGAACUCUUGUUGCUGGACUGAUAUCAAGCCUUCCUCCGGUUGCGUGCAGAAAUCCACAGCUCUGGUCACUUCAUAGGCCAUCCUGACCCAGGUCUUCUGGCUCUGCCCCCGCUCCUGUCCCACCACCUCUUAGCCCCUUCAAAGAAGAAAUCACCUCUUCUUUUCCACACAAAAGCCAGUCCUUGGGUCCCAAAAGGAGGAUUAACAGACUCAUAGAAAAGAUCCCCACUCAGGUAUUCCAACCCAACCAAGCUGGCCAACCUUGGGCCCA
rnacentral:lncRNA from 1 species